rnacentral:piRNA from 1 species
UCCCACCAUGCACAAAUGUCACCUCAUUGC